CUGAGUUAUCACAACUCCCAACCCAUGUGAACCUUACCAAUCGUUGCCUCGGCAGGGCCCCCUAAACCCGGGCCUUGCCGGCGGACCCAACCAACUCUUGCUGUAUCGUGGCAUUCUGAGUAUUAAAAACAUAAUAGUUA
rnacentral:misc_RNA from 1 species